GUUCCGGUGCAAGGUCGUGUUGAGGAGUCGUGUUUUUAGUUUUGUUGUGGGCUGUAAGGGUGGCUGCGGGAGAAAUUAUUAUCAUUCUGCGGGAUGUCCUCUACCCACUCCGCCUUCCCUGUCUGUUGUCGAGUGGGGGUCUCGCCUGCUCCUUCCUUCUGCCACAACAAAGCUAAUAACUCGACUCAUCCUGACACCACGUCUCUGGCU
rnacentral:pre_miRNA from 1 species